UCUCGAUAGCGUUAAAGUUAUCUCAAAUUUGUAUGGAGUUGGAACGUUUGCCUACGUUUGCCGCUAGGGGCGCUGUUUCAAAUGCAUACAAAUUUGACUUAACUCUUACGCGAUCGA
rnacentral:pre_miRNA from 9 species